CCAACUGGGAUUACCUUAGUAACGGCGAGUGAAGCGGUAAAAGCUCAAAUUUGAAAUCUGGUACUUUCAGUGCCCGAGUUGUAAUUUGUAGAAUUUGUCUUUGAUUAGGUCCUUGUCUAUGUUCCUUGGAACAGGACGUCAUAGAGGGUGAGAAUCCCGUUUGGCGAGGAUACCUUUUCUCUGUAAGACUUUUUCGAAGAGUCGAGUUGUUUGGGAAUGCAGCUCAAAGUGGGUGGUAAAUUCCAUCUAAAGCUAAAUAUUGGCGAGAGACCGAUAGCGAACAAGUACAGUGAUGGAAAGAUGAAAAGAACUUUGAAAAGAGAGUGAAAAAGUACGUGAAAUUGUUGAAAGGGAA
rnacentral:rRNA from 1 species